rnacentral:rRNA from 1 species
GUGAGGAAUAUUGGUCAAUGGACGGAAGUCUGAACCAGCCAAGUCGCGUGAAGGAAGACGGUUCUAUGGAUUGUAAACUUCUUUUGCCUGAGGGUAAAACGCGGUACGUGUACCGCCUUGUAAGUAUCAGGUGAAUAAGCAUCGGCUAACUCCGUGCCAGCAGCCGCGGUAAUACGGAGGAUGCGAGCGUUAUCCGGAUUUAUUGGGUUUAAAGGGUGCGUAGGCGGGAUGUUAAGUCAGCGGUGAAAGUUUGCGGCUCAACCGUAAAAUUGCCGUUGAAACUGGCGUUCUUGAGUGUAAACGAGGUAGGCGGAAUGUGACGUGUAGCGGUGAAAUGCUUAGAUAUGUCACAGAACCCCGAUUGCGAAGGCAGCUUACCAGCAUACAACUGACGCUGAGGCACGAAAGCGUGGGUAUCAAACAGGAUUAGAUACCCGAGUAGUCC